rnacentral:rRNA from 1 species
GAUGAACGCUGGCGGUAUGCCUAACACAUGCAAGUCGUACGAGAGUUUUUAACUCUAGUGGCGGACGGGUGAGUAACACGUGAGAAUUUGCCUUUAGGAGGGGGAUAACAAUUGGAAACGAAUGCUAAUACCCCAUAUGCUUUCGAGUGAAAUGGAUUUAUAUUUAUCCGCCUAGAGAGAAGCUCGCGGCUGAUUAGCUUGUUGGUAAGGUAAGAGCUUACCAAGGCGACGAUCAGUAUCUGGUUUGAGAGGACGAUCAGACACACUGGAACUGAGACACGGUCCAG